rnacentral:rRNA from 1 species
GGGAAUAUUGCACAAUGGGCGAAAGCCUGAUGCAGCAACGCCGCGUGAGCGAUGAAGGCCUUUGGGUCGUAAAGCUCUGUCCUUGGGGAAGAAAAAAAUGACGGUACCCUUGGAGGAAGCCCCGGCUAACUACGUGCCAGCAGCCGCGGUAAUACGUAGGGGGCAAGCGUUAUCCGGAAUUAUUGGGCGUAAAGAGUGCGUAGGUGGUUUUGUAAGCGCGGGGUGAAAGGCAAUGGCUCAACUAUUGUAAGCCCUGCGAACUGUGAGACUUGAGUGCAGGAGAGGAGAGCGGAAUUCCUAGUGUAGCGGUGAAAUGCGUAGAUAUUAGGAGGAACACCAGUGGCGAAGGCGGCUUUCUGGACUGUAACUGACACUGAGGCACGAAAGCGUGGGGAGCAAACA